UAGGGUUUAUGAUGGAAGGCAUCCCACGCUCCUUCUUGCUGAUCCGGACUUAAUCAAGCAGGUGUUUGUGAAAGACGCUCUCGUAGCAUUUGUAAACAGAAGGAGUUUCGGGGACAGCCAGAGUAGCGAUGACAUUUUUAUGGAAGGUUUAGGAAACCUGACAAACGAGAAGUGGAAGGAUAUGAGAAGCAUCCUCACACCAACAUUCACGACCGGCAAGCUAAAACAGAUGACUCACCUUAUCAACGAGUGUGCCAAUACAUUGAAGACUAACCUUGGAAAACUGGCCGAUGAAAGGAAACCAUUUGAGACGAAAAGGU